UUAUUCCUGAGGUACUGUCCUUGCUCAUCCCUCAGAAAAGUGCUUUACGACCCGAAGGCCUUCAUCGCACACGCGGCGUUGCUGCAUCAGGCUUUCGCCCAUUGUGCAAUAUUCCCUACUGCUGCCACCCGUAGGUGUAUGGACCGUGUUUCAGUUCCAUUGUGGGGGGUCACCCUCUCAGGUCCCCUACCCGUCGUAGCCUUGGUGAGCCAUUACCUCACCAACUAGCUGAUGGGACGCAGGUCCCUCCCAAAGCGAAUUGCUCCUUUAGUUAUCGGUUUCUAAAUCCAAUAACCACAUGCGGUAUUAGCAGUUCUUUCGAACUGUUAUCCCACACUUUGGGGUAGGUCACCAACGCGUUACUCACCCGUUCGCCACUAGGAUACUUCCGUAUUGCUACAAAAGCACCUCGUUCGACUUGCAUGUAUUAGGCACGCCGCCAGCGUUCAUCCUGAGCCAUGAUCAAACUCUAAUCGAAUUCCCGCGGCCGCCAUGGCGGCCGGGAGCAUGCGACGUCGGGCCCAAUUCGCCCUAUAGUGAGUCGUAUUACAUUCAYGCG
rnacentral:rRNA from 1 species